rnacentral:lncRNA from 1 species
AGUUAUCGAUGCGGGAACUACUCUCGAGAGUGGUGCGUAGCUAUCUCCGACGGUUUGUGGUAGAAUCGAGUCUGAAUAUACAUAAAAACCGUAUACUCCACCUGUCAGAUCAGGGUAGUGUUUUCCCACGGCCAAACCAUAGUAACUUCCCGGCUGGAAUCCUAACAUUUCGCCAAUAACUACGCGGUGGUCCGGGAAAUGUAUAUACGCGUGCGUAUAUGUUACGAUAAAAGUGAUUAAUGUGGCUGAUGGUGCGUAAUCACCCACAAUAAUCGUCUCGGUAAGUUUGACAAGUUUCUGGCUUUUACCAACGAUUAUAAAUUGGUAAGUUUGAUAAAUGUGCUCGAAUACAUUACAUUACUUUUCCAGCAUUUCCAAAAUGUAGUCGAUGAUAAAUUGUUGUUGUUUUAGUCACUAAUUUAAUUAGAGGGUUACAGUUAUUUUAGUUCGGUAACAGCCUCCGGUCGACUUUUAACUCGGCCGAUCUCUAACCGUUUGUUCGUAGUCGUCUUCCCGGCCAAAUCCGCCAUUCGACCCAGACGCUUUCCGCGCUCUUCUCCAGCGGUCUCGAUGUACGCUUCCCUGUUUACAGGCAAAUCGGUUUUUGUGAAAGUUGUAUGGACGUUAUCCCGACACGGGAAUCAUCUUCGCUGGUGACGCGUCAGUUGGUAGGCCAUUAAUUCGUAUUUCCUCGUUUCUCCCAUUCGCCUUUUAUUCGAAUAGAGUAUCGGAUGGCCAGACGCGAAAUCCGAACCACCAAAGGACUACGAACACUCGACCCAUAGCGGAAAAUGCGUCGUUUUCUUUCGAAAUUUUUUAUUUUCUGGUUUUACCGCCUUAGUUUUUUUAAACACAAAGACCCGAUGUGUAGUCGGUGACCAGGCACCCUUAGAAGGUAGAGCCGGAGUGGCCAAACUCGGUUUACCGGUGCCGAAAGGCCUGGCCAUACCUAUAGAAACGAUUGUCGAAGUUGGUGGCGUCGGCCAAUACCCAGGCCACUGCUCGUACCUAUCGAUCCGAUUCGGUUACGUUACCCGUACCACCGAGAAAAUUUGACGGAACACUGGCCCAAUAUUUUAAAACAAAGUUACAACCGAAGGCGAAUGUAAUGGCUCGGGUUUUCUCUGGCCAAGAUAUCCCAACGACAACAUUACCAGACGAUAAAACUGUUGUUAUUUUCUACUACUCGACACCUUCAGUCGCCGAGAUUGGCAGUGGCCCUGGCAAAUUACCGUUAACUAUCUCGGUUAAAGAUGUCGGUCGAUUUUCUUUUUUAGAUUCAUUCGUUUUCCUCCGCCAAAACGAACAACAACCGUCGGCCUAGAUACCCACUCGGGAGCUCGGUACUCCCGAACAGCGCCAUUAUUUUGGUGGCAAAAUUUCCCGAGAAGCGAUGGAUAGAUGGGCGCUAACCGGAGCCAAAGUGGGAGUAGUUACCGAUAGCGCGUCGGGCUUAAAAACAUUUAGCUCGUUAAAUUGUAAUCGCUUUCCGACCGUAACAGGCGUUUAAACCAAUAGCUAAAACGUCUGGCGGGCCGUCGGUUUGAGACCACCAAUCCGCGCGGCUUCCUCGGCCACCGUCUGAUAUUUUUAUCGGGCACCGUAUUCCACCACCAUAUAACUGGCUCGUGUCCCAUAGACUAUGGGCCCUUCCAGUUGGCGAGCGACUCGAUGACCUCGCUGAACAAGCGCUUACCUAGCAAACGUCAUCACUUAGACAGCUCAGCUGUCUAACUGAAUGCUACAAAACUAGCGAGGAAAGAAGUCGCUUACUUUGCUUAGCAGCAAAUCCAGCGAUUAAUGACGUCAUUCGAAGUAAGCGAACCAUCUAGUUAGGCGGCUCAUUCCAACAAACCGGUUUGCUGAGAAGCGAUUAGUAAGCUGCUUACCAACUGGAAGCGCCCUAUAACUGCGCUUUUGCUUUUCUGUAUUGGAGACAGAAAAUCCAAGUGGUAGUUAAAUUUUUACUAGCUUAUCAAACGCUUUACCACGUAAUAAAAAUAAUAAUUUAUUAUUAUUAUUAUACAAGUUAUCGGCACCAUUGAUCGAAAAUCGUGCGUAAUUAUUUGGUUGCCACUCCUUUCCGAUGUUGAAAAAUUCACCGCUAUCAAAAUUGACAACAAAAUUUCGUGGUGUACGUUUUAAGUAUAUCCUAAAAAUUUUGUUGCGAUACAGUAUAAAGACUUUUUGGGUUCCCGCCGACCAAUGGCGCGGUCUAACCGUCGAUGCCGCGCUAGUAAAUAGUGUCGAAUAGUUUUAUCUGGAAGAAAAAUUACGUAUUAGCCACGUAAUAACUACCCUUUCAUUUUUAUAUACGUAUUUCAAUAAUGAAAUAUUUCAUUUCCGUCAGGUCGGAGAAAUUAGAGAAC